UGUCCACACCUGUGUUUGCAGAGAACAAGGAAAACAUCUAUUUCAGAGCAGUUCUUAGUAUCGUCCCUGGCAUUUGGACAUACAGCAGCAGCCCUGUACUGAAGAGACUGGCUGUUUCUUACGGACCUAGAUGAGCAAGAAGAGACAGGACAUCUCAAAUGAGACCCGUUUUCCCACCGAAGUGGUGUUCAGAUGAUUUGAAGCCAGCCUCUGCCUGUUUGGAGACCCGACCUUCUUCUUGACCAGACUCAGAUAUUCCCCUGAGCUGCAAAAAGGCUUCUGGAGCUGACCAGAGCUGCCAGCUACAGGCAUGAGGUGUUAGAGCAGAUACUGGACCUAAUUCUACUCAGACCUCUCUCUUUCCAUCAAACUGGAUUGAAUCAGGUCAGCUGGUUCAGAAGUUAUUGGAGCGGGGGGACUGGCACACAGAGGGAUGAGCAGCACAAGGAGGUUCAUUGCUCUCUAAACCCUGGCUCAAAAAUAUGGCAGUUUUGGUGAAACAACGGGGCCCUAAUGUCAGAGCCUUCAACCUGGAAAUCAGGGCCUCGCCUCACCUCACAGGAACUGUUCAGAAGCAGUCAAUCCCUAACCUGAGUCACUUACAGCUGGAUGGAUCAAGAGUGGGAGAGAGGAAGAAGAAAUUAUCUCGGAGUUGCACAUAGGGAGAAAAAAGAAAGGCCAAGACCAGCAACUUACUGAGGAAUCCUGUGAGCAGGUUAGAGGGAGGCUCAGAUGUCCAGUGUCCCCAUCUAGGGCCCUAAGCAAAACCCACCUCAGCUUCUUCUUGCUUCAUCACCCAGGCAGAAUUCACCCUUUCCUGGGCAUUUUGCUCUGAUUCACUGCCCCCAGGAGCUGAGUCAGUCUUACCCACGCUUCUCCUUUGGCAGCUCAGACCACAUGGUGAGCUGAGAUUCGGCAACGUCUGCGGUUGCUGGUGACUGCUUCCCAGGUGAUUCUAGUGAGAGUGAGCAGGGGUGACAGGACAGAGAAGUAACAGAAGCCUGGAGGGAGCCACCGGUGAGUGUCUAUGCAAAACACCGAUCCUUGUGUCAUCUUCAGAGUCAGACAUAGGAAGCAGUUUCUUAGCAGCAAAACUGGACCUUAUGGAAGUGGCUCAGUCACAGUUUUCACGCCAAGCUAUAAUUUAUGAGUCCAAAAAUCAGAGACUGUAAACUGAACGGCAACAAGGGAAUUAGCCAGGUUCCCCAAAGAUGGAUGUUUUUGCUCUUCUGCCAGGAGGUAGCUCCUUUAGUGGAUGGACCUUUAGAAAAUUAGGCUGAGCAGCCUCUGAGUGAUAAAGCAGGGUCCGAAGCAUAUUAAAGCAUGUGUAAGCACUGACACCUACUAGGGACACUGAGGCAGCAUUGCAGAAGAGGAAGAAUCCUGGACAUGCUUAUCUUGACCUAAGAGUGGCUUAUAUCCCACCUAGCACCUCGGUCUGCUCUCUGAGCUGUCAGAAGUUAUUCCUAGAUGAGUUGUUAUGGUAACUGAGCUAAUGCCCCGAGAUAGAUGUUUUCAGGUGGCUCCAGGCCAAAAAAUCAACACCAAGAGAUUCCAGAUAAUAGACUUCUGCUAAAUUCAGUGCUGGCAUCUACUUUAUUUAACCUAUUCACCAAUGACUUACUGAACUCCAUUCUCCGGGCAAGCCAUAUGUGGUGACAAUAGCUGCUUGACCUCAAUGAACCUUGUCUUUCAAAAGACUGAGGGGAUCCUGUGUGCUCUGGCUGGGUCUGUGCCAGUAAAUUAAAUGUGCCUGGGACUUUCCUCUGCAGUGAGAAGACAGCUGGCACAGAAUGGCCAUUGUUUUCAUAACAAAUUCUUACCCUCCAAACCUGCGUGGUCACAUCCAGAUGGACCAUAAAGAAGAGUCUUUGACCCAUGCUAGCUCCUGAAAUGCAUCUGGACUGGACCAAGCUGCAGAGCAAUACUCGAGCAGUGUAACAGAGAGCAGCCCUGGCACUGGUUAAUUUAUUAGUACAGACCUUGUCUGACUGACUGCAGUCACACAUAAGAAAGGAGCCUGAAACCAGGUGUGAAGGCUCUGACAAUGUGCUUAUGCUCAUACCAUGUCCUGAGCCAGCUGGAGCUGUGCGUCCUUAGGAACAGUCAGUGACAGGCACACGGUGUGUUAAGGAAUCGCUCUGGAUCACCCAUUUCUAUCCUCUAUUUGAAAUAGCUCAUGAGACCACAGAGAGAAAGGCUCCCAUGGGUUAAACAAGUGGAUUUGCCCCUGAGGAUACCCCUCCACCUUGUAUCUGACAUGGAAAUUAGCAGCAGGGGGGCAGAGGAUGCCCUAUGCCCACCAGCCAGCCCUGCUGGUGACUGCACCACAGAAGGCCUCUUCAGGCAGCGCUCCGCAACCUGCAGCAGGCAGAGAGCACUCGGGCAGCUCCGACAAACCUCAGGGAGAGUCGUGCCACUUCCAGAAACUCCCACAUCACCACCAGACCAGCCGAGCAGCUACCUGGCUCUGGGGCCCUGCGCCUGCCGCCUCCGGAGCAAGCCAAACAGGUUCCACCAUGGCGUGGUCCGCAGUGCCAGCACCGAUCACACCCCGGGCAUUUGGGACAGCCUGCUGCAUGCCCUCGUGGAUGUUGUUGCAUCUCUGUUGGGUGGCUGCUUUUUUUCAUGUCGAGUCUCCCUGGUGGUCUCCUUGCUUUGGACACCAGUAGCUCGAACACCACAGGCUGGCCCGAGGCCUCUGAGCUUGGGGGGUUCUACCUCUGCUCACCCUUUGGCAUUUCACGCCUUGUUUUGCCCACUCGUGAGCUGUGUUAUUGCAAUAUGCAGCUCUCUAGGGCAGAAACUGUUUUCCCGCAUGUUCUUUGCUAGGCUUCCACUGCAACAGGAUUGCAAUCUUAAUCAGCGCAGCAGUAAUGUGAUUAAGAAGCUGCUGCACAAGUGGGAAUUGCAGCCUCAGUGGAUGUGAUUUUCCUGGUUCUGGCCUGCCUGGGUGUUUCCCCAGGAUGAGAGGUCAUGUUGACUGAACUCCAAAAUGGCUUGCCUGAACUUUUGAAUACUGAGGUCCAAAUAAAUUUUCAGCAUUAGCUGGUAUGCUGAUCCCUUUCCUGCCAAGCUGCAGCCUUAAGUGAUUUUUUAUGGCUAAGUUAUAAACCCCAGAAAACACGAGCAAGAAGUGGAAAUGCUGACUUGGCCGUUGCUAAAUGCCAAUUAUCUACAAAGGCAUUAAGGGUGGGGGGUUGAAAAAUAGGGUCAUUUUCAUGUUUUCUCUGGUUCAAAGUAAACUGUCCCGUGAGCCCCUUAUAGGAACACACAGCAUACAGAGUGACCAUUAAUAUUUAUAGGCACGACACCAAGAUGCAGACCUUGGCAAUCAGAGCAACUCCACUUUUGGAAUUAAUAUAGCUCUGCUUGGCUGGCCUCUCAGUGCAAAAUACUAAGUAGGGACACCAAGAUUUUCAGGGAGAAGUUAAGAAGUAGAUGAUGACCUUCAAUGGCGAGGGUCCAUACUUCACUGAG